rnacentral:tRNA from 1 species
GCCUGGGUGGCUCAGUGGUUGAGCGCCUGCCUUUGGCUCAGGUCGUGAUCCCGGGGUCGUGGGAUGGAGUCCCACAUCCGGCU